CUUGACAAUCCAAACACAGAGUAGAGAUUAUAAAAUCCAAAAAAGAGUCAUUGUAUCCAACUCUGUCAGUCCAGCCUCAAAAACCAAGACGCGCUUUUCCAAGACUCCAACUUCGCGAAGAGGACUGAAUCGACACUGGUUGGACCCUCCUGUUCCUGCCCCAGCAGCAGCUCUGGAGGAAGCUAAAACCACAGCAGGCAGAUCUGGAAACUUGAGCACCGUCCUUCUAAGAAUAAGAGACAGAAUGGGUAACAGGGCCACAUGGUCUUGAUUUUCUCUGCUGACCAAGCCUUAAGGUGUCUCUUCAUCUCUGUCAUUCACUUCUCUCUCUCGGGGCCCCGACUCGCAAUCAGGUAAAAAAAAAAAGAGUCCCCCAUGAGGAUCCUAACGAAUCCACAGGUUUGGGAAGAAAGGGGAACCGAAGAAAAGAUUCUGGCCAUCAAUCAGCUUUACCUUGCAGCAGACCUUGAACAUACUUUGCACUGCUGAAUGUGUUUCCUGAUGCUGCUGUACUGACCUUGCACUCACUUCUAAAGCUUCAAGAAAGAAGAAGAUAAAGGAGGAGAGAAGGGAUGAAUGAGAAACAGAAAGACAUUGAAAGAAUGAGGGGUGUGGCUGAAUGCCACACUGCUGGCCUUAACCUGAAAUACUGCACGUCAAGCACUGCAUUCACUGGUCAUGGGUUAUUAAAGAGCCUGUAUUAUGUGACACCUCCACCUAUCAUUAAGCUCUUCUCCUGUGACCUGAUAGCUGCAUGUACGCACAAAUGCACACAGGGUAACACAUGUAAUGAGUUUUGUUCACAUCCAUCCAUUAACAAGAGUCCUCAAUAUGUAUUAUGAUUACAGGGAAACAAACAGCCAACCAGUCCUCCAAGACACACUGAGCACUGACUCCAAUGACACGCCAUACGCCGAGCACCACAAAGUGUGAGAGCACAUCCGAACAGUUUAAUCGAAAGCUGCUGUACAGGCUGCCAAGCAUCCUAUCACUGACAAAGACCAACAGCUUGUUCACGCACAAACAUCGUAAUGGAUAAAAAUUAAGCAGGGAAGGUGGGGCUAAAUAGAUGGAUAGAACAAAAGGAAAGAUGAGAAUAGAUGGAGGGAGAGUAGGUGGCUAAGCGGUGUAGAGGGAUAGAGGAGAGAGAGAUUACAAGAUCAGUUGAUGAGGAAAAGAUGAGGUGACAUCCGAAGCAUGGGGUUCCCUUCAUACCCCAUAAGUCUCCAUUCUCCGUCUGUCAGGCUGCAUGCACGCGCACAC